CUCUGAGAGAAGCCAUGUGAUGAUCUGGGUUUCCUGGUGCAGUCUGCAGAGAGUCAGCAUGGAGAUGUGAAGAUAAAAUCCAUUAAUGUGCGUGAGACACUACAGUGAAGAAUGCCACGCUCCAUCACUCCUGUUUACGGCUCAGGGGAACUGGCAGGGUGUGUGAAGCUGAUGGUUCGCAGACUCAGAUCCAGAUGGCAGCAGCUUCUCACCCACAUUCCCUUCCUGUUGGCUGGCUUGCUCUGCUGCAACCCCAACCGUUCAACCCCAGAGACUGGUUUACAUUUUGAAAGUGAUGAAUGUGGGGCCCGAUCCUGCAAACUCCCACAACAAGGCGUACGGCCAUUGAGAUGGCACCCAGGAGGGUUUGCUGGAUCAGGCCUGUUGUUUUUGAUCCUGCCAACUGCAGGUCUCUCCAUUUCCCUUGACUCUGCUGGAAGUGGAGGAUGCUCAGCGUCUCAUAGCACCAGAACUAGAGCCAGUAGAAAAAUGCGGGAAGCCGGGGGGAACAUGCUAUUGAGAUCUGGUUUGUUUGGGGUUUUUUAGAUUCUU